rnacentral:rRNA from 1 species
AUGAUAGAAAUUUAAACCCUUUUUAAAGUAUCAAUUGGAGGGCAAGUCUGGUGCCAGCAGCCGCGGUAAUUCCAGCUCCAAUAGCGUAUAUUAAAAUUGUUGCAGUUAAAAAGCUCGUAGUUGAAGUUCUGCUAAAAGUAACCGGUCUGCUUUUAAUAAAAGUGGUAUCUUGGUGUGUAUUUAGCAAUGAUGUCCUUUGAAGUGUUUUUUACUUUAUUGUAAUAAAGCAUAUUCAGGACUUUUACUUUGAGAAAAUUAGAGUGUUUCUAGCAGGCCGACGCUUUGAAUACUGCAGCAUGGAAUAAUAAGAUAGGAUUUUAGUUCUACAUUAUUGGUUUA